rnacentral:sRNA from 1 species
GCUGGGCGUGGUGGUGCACGCCUGUAAUCCCAGCGGCUUGGAAGGUUGAGGCAGGAGGAUGGCGAGUUCAAAGCCAGCCUCAGCAAAAGCAAGGUGCUAAGCAACUCCGUGAGACCCUGUCUCUA